UGAUGAUAUAGUUCUUUUUAUGCUUUCUGCAAAAUACUGAGAAGGAAGUAAAGAUGACUUAAAGAGGGUGGCUUUCUAAUAAACAGUAACUAUCUGCUGAUUCACAAGGUUCUGGAAUAGCCUGUAGGUGAGAGCUGAAGAUCUUUAAAAUAAACCCUUGCUUAAACCAAAUUACAGUUCUGGUGAAUGAAGUACAUGCCAACUUUCCAUUGUGCUUUGAAAGAAAAUAGUGCUUAUGCAGAAUUGCUUCUGGGUACUUCUUUAAUUCAGGAAUGAUCUAAUUGUUUGUUGGCCAGUACAGUCUAUGAGCAGGGUAUUUGGGAGCUUUGCUGGAACUUAGCAGCAUCAUUGCCUUACUUAUGUGGUAGGAAGAAAGGCUUAGUUCCUACUUAAUUGGCUUUUCGGGGGGGAAGUAUGUGUGUAUGGAGUGGGGGGAGGGAUGGGAUCAUGCCAUCACUGAAGUCACUGAGACUUCUUCACUUAAUUUGAACUGAAUUCACGUUUAACCCAAUCUUUACUCUGACGCUGGUGGGGUCGGGGGGGUGUGUGUAUAUAUAUUUUUUUAUCUUUUUUUUUUUUUUUAAUUUUAUUUAAUCUGUUUGUUUGUUUUGCUUUCCCAAAUUACUUGAAGUACUUGGAAUAACUUUCUCAAAUCUUUCUGAAAAUCCCACUAGGUACCUACAUGAGACCAUUUGCAAGAAGAGGUGUUAUCUCUCACUUCCCACAGCCCCAUCAGUUGAUUUAAAAGGAAACGGGCUGCCUUUUGGGCUCACAGGCUCUGCUGCAGGUCUGGAACAAAAGUAAAGUCAACUUUGAAAUAUCUGCAUCACUGAAAAUACAUCUUAAGUGCUAAAGUCAGCAGAAGUCAAAGUUUCUGUUAGAAGUUGGACGAGUAGUCUGCACGUCCAUGUUGCAGCCUCUAGACAGCAGCAAGUGUCCAGCAAAUUGUUUGUUGUGGCUCUGUCACCAGGAUCUGUUUUUUUUUUUUUUGUUACAGGUAGGCAUUGCUCCAGACUCUCAAGGGAUUUGGAAACUUAAGAGGAAGAAACUUGGGCAUGUAGUAGAUGUCUCCGCAGUAAAAGCUUUUCUUUAUCUUCCCAAUACUAUCUGGUACUAACUGUAGUUGGCAAUUUUAUAGGAGAAGUCCUUGUCUAUUCCACAUCUGUGUAGUCAACAGUCAUUCCUUUGCUAAUACUUUUAAAGCAUUUGAUUAAUGUUUAUUUUUUAUUUAAAUAAUUACUUGAGUGUGGGUGGUGCUUUGUUAAUAAUGGGAGCUAAAUGCUCUUGGUGUGGGUUUGGUCAUUCUGGAAAACUCCCAUUUGAUCUGUCUAUCUACACCAGGGAAAAGUAUCCUGCUUCAGAAAAGUCAACUGCACAGAACUUGGCUCAUUUAGACUGAGACUAGGGAAAAAAGUAAAGUUUAUGAUGUAUAUAAUUCUUUCAUGCUUGGUAAUUCAGUUUGGUAUAGUAUUAAUUUGACAGAAUUAGCAACACACAUUUCUGUAUAUUAAAGUGAGAAUGAGUUUGUUGAUGAAUAAGAACAUUUAAGAUUAAAGUCAGUAAAUUAGAACCAAGAUGUGUCUUGUGAAGGAAAUAACUUAUUUGAAAAUGAGCAAAGGCAGGCCUGCACAUAUGCCAAGAAUCUGUUGUCAAAUUGCUACUGCAGAAAUGACUACUUAAAACAAUAAAUCCAGUAGUGAAUUGGUUU
rnacentral:lncRNA from 1 species